CCCGCACAAGCGGUGGAUGAUGUGGAUUAAUUCGAUGCAACGCGAAGAACCUUACCUACCCUUGACAUGUCCGGAACUUGCCAGAGAUGGCUUGGUGCCCGAAAGGGAAUCGGAACACAGGUGCUGCAUGGCUGUCGUCAGCUCGUGUCGUGAGAUGUUGGGUUAAGUCCCGCAACGAGCGCAACCCUUAUCAUUAGUUGCUACGCAAGGGCACUCUAAUGAGACUGCCGGUGACAAACCGGAGGAAGGUGGGGAUGACGUCAAGUCCUCAUGGCCCUUAUGGGUAGGGCUUCACACGUCAUACAAUGGUCGGUACAGAGGGUUGCCAAGCCGCGAGGCGGAGCCAAUCCCAGAAAGCCGAUCGUAGUCCGGAUUGUUCUCUGCAACUCGAGAGCAUGAAGUCGGAAUCGCUAGUAAUCGCGGAUCAGCAUGUCGCGGUGAAUACGUUCCCGGGUCUU
rnacentral:rRNA from 1 species